CCAGUCGGCCGGACGGCCGCUGCCGAAAGGGAGAGGAAAGUCCGGGCUCCACGGAGAAACGGUGCCGGAUAACGUCCGGCGGGGGUGACCCCAGGGAAAGCGCCACAGAGAUUGAACCGCCCGCUGCAGGGAGACUUGCCGCAGGUAAGGGUGAAAAGGUGCGGUAAGAGCGCACCGCGUCGCCGGCAACGGGGACGGCAUGGCAAGCCCCACCGGGAGCAAGACCGAAUAGGGACGACGAGGAGCCGCAAGGCUUCGGGUCCGCUCCGGAUCGUCGUCCGGGUUGGUUGCUUGAGGCGUUCGGUAACGAUCGUCCCAGAGGAAUGGCCGUCACGUCGCGUCGCGCAAGCGGCGCGGCCCUACAGAACCCGGCUUACAGGCCGACUGGCGCA
rnacentral:RNase_P_RNA from 1 species